rnacentral:rRNA from 1 species
AUUGAACGCUGGCGGCAGGCCUAACACAUGCAAGUCGAGCGAGCGACGGACGGGUGAGUAAUGUAUGUGGACUGCUAGAUAGAGGGGGAUAACUAAUGGAAACGGUAGCUACUAAUGCAUACUAUCGGAUAACGCAUGUGGGUUUAGCUAGUGGGUGAGGUAAUGGCUCACCAAGGCGACGAUCCCUAGCUGGUCGGAGAGGAUGAUCAGCCACAAUGGAACUGAGACACGGGCCAGACUCCUACGGAGGCAGCAGUGGGGAAUAUUGCACAAUGGGCGAAAGCCUGAUGCAGCCAUGCCGCGUGUAUGAAGAAGGCCUUAGGAUUGUAAAGUACUUUAAGUCGGGAGGCGUUACCGACAGAAGAAGCACCGGCUAACUCCGUGCCAGCAGCCGCGGUAAUUC